UUUUGGACAAUGGGCGAAAGCCUGAUCCAGCAAUGCCGCGUGCAGGAAGAAGGCCUUCGGGUUGUAAACUGCUUUUGUACGGAACGAAACGGCCUUUUCUAAUAAAGAGGGCUAAUGACGGUACCGUAAGAAUAAGCACCGGCUAACUACGUGCCAGCAGCCGCGGUAAUACGUAGGGUGCGAGCGUUAAUCGGAAUUACUGGGCGUAAAGCGUGCGCAGGCGGUUCUAUAAGACAGAUGUGAAAUCCCCGGGCUCAACCUGGGAAUGGCAUUUGUGACUGUAGAGCUAGAGUACGGUAGAGGGGGAUGGAAUUCCGCGUGUAGCAGUGAAAUGCGUAGAUAUGCGGAGGAACACCGAGGCGAAGGCAAUCCCCUGACCUGUACUGACGCUCAUGCACGAAA
rnacentral:rRNA from 1 species